GAAUUAAAUUCUUGUAAAAUUAUAGUUUCCAAAGAGAUGUUAAGGAUUGUUUGAGAUUAACAUUUGGCAAUUAUUUGAUUCAAUGUUGCAUUUUUUAAAUUCUGUGCAUAUUUCUUAUCUCCUUGUGAUAUUUCAUUUAUAUUAUUUGAAAUUAAAUUCUUGGCUUUUGAACGUGCGACGUGUUUGCAAAUACACUAUUUAAUGCCAUUUUAUUUAUGUUGGAUUUGCUAUUAUAGCAAUCUCCAUAUGGAAAUUAUAGCACUGUAACAAUAACUAUAUCCACAGUUUUUCUUCACGUUUACUCUUGAAGGAAUUUAAGGCUGGAAUGAAGGACCUUGUACAGUCUUCCUUCAUUAAAAUAGAUAACAUGAGGAUAAUGUUUGUAUAGCUGGAAUAAAUUCCCUUGUUCUGCAAAUAAAGUAGACAUAGAGCUUGAAGGUAGCACUUUAUUUUCUUCAAGUGUAUGUUCUUGCCCAAAGUCUAGUUGGACUCAACUUUAUCCAUUAUUUUAUCUUCAAAAAUUAUGUGUUCCCUGCAAUAAGAGUUGGGUUCUGCAGUGAACCAGAUGUAGUGAUUCUGAGAGGAGAGAUUCAUGUCUAUGAAAACAAUUGUUGUGGCAAAAGUUUUUGAUAUCAUUUUCUUGCAAGCUUCCAAUGUUUUCAGCUUAGCAUCUCCAUCAUUGUUCUGGAUCAUUUUGGCACCAAGAAAACUGCAUUUAUGCUAAUUUUGAGAUAUUUCUAUCUGUAUAUGCCUGUUAUCUUUAUUUUUUUUUUUCUCCUCCCCAUCUUUGUUGUCCAGUGCCCAUUAUUUUGGUAAUUGGUAUGGAGGUCAACUAGCUUGUUUU
rnacentral:misc_RNA from 1 species